AUGGAGCCGACCUUGAAAUACCACCCUUUAAUGUUUGAUGUUCUAACGUUGACCCGUAAUCCGGGUUGCGGACAGUGUCUGGUGGGUAGUUUGACUGGGGCGGUCUCCUCCUAAAGAGUAACGGAGGAGCACGAAGGUUGGCUAAUCCUGGUCGGACAUCAGGAGGUUAGUGCAAUGGCAUAAGCCAGCUUGACUGCGAGCGUGACGGCGCGAGCAGGUGCGAAAGCAGGUCAUAGUGAUCCGGUGGUUCUGAAUGGAAGGGCCAUCGCUCAACGGAUAAAAGGUACUCCGGGGAUAACAGGCUGAUACCGCCCAAGAGUUCAUAUCGACGGCGGUGUUUGGCACCUCGAUGUCGGCUCAUCACAUCCUGGGGCUGAAGUAGGUCCCAAGGGUAUGGCUGUUCGCCAUUUAAAGUGGUACGCGAGCUGGGUUUAGAACGUCGUGAGACAGUUCGGUCCCUAUCUGCCGUGGGCGCUGGAGAACUGAGGGGGGCUGCUCCUAGUACGAGAGGACCGG
rnacentral:rRNA from 1 species